CUACGGGCUGCUGCAGUGGGGAAUAUUGCACAAUGGAGGAAACUCUGAUGCAGCAACGCCGCGUGGAGGAUGACACUUUUCGGAGCGUAAACUCCUUUUAUAUAGGAAGAAGAUGACGGUACUAUAUGAAUAAGCGCCGGCUAACUCCGUGCCAGCAGCCGCGGUAAUACGGAGGGCGCAAGCGUUACUCGGAAUCACUGGGCGUAAAGAGCGUGUAGGCGGAUUAAAAAGUCAGAAGUGAAAUCCUAUAGCUUAACUAUAGAACUGCUUCUGAAACUCUUAAUCUAGAAUAUGGGAGAGGUAGAUGGAAUUUCUGGUGUAGGGGUAAAAUCCGUAGAGAUCAGAAGGAAUACCGAUUGCGAAGGCGAUCUACUAGAACAUUAUUGACGCUGAGGCGCGAAAGCGUGGGGGGCAAACAGGAUUAGAUACCCCCGUAGUC
rnacentral:rRNA from 1 species